AGGGGGUGCUACCCAGACCCCCUUUCAAAGGACUUGCUGCCGGCUGUGGAGACUGUGGUCUACAGACAGCCUCCGGCCGCCCCGUCUUUCAGGAACUGCCUCGGCUGCAGAGCUGCCUUCCAGAAGUCAUCCAAGAAAGUCAGGCCGACUCAGGCAGGUCAGCUUUGACAGGCAGGCUUGCCCAGCCCGGUCCACAAGACCAUUCCCUCCACCAGUCCUUCCCCGCCCUUUCUCAGGCUUAUAUUUAUACUGGUUGCACCUCAACGGUCCGCAUCUGGGAACCCGUUUCCAGACAACCCGCCCUCUGACAGACAGCUUCACAAAAUGUAAGCCUACAAAGGAAUGGAUUGCAGGAUUGGGGACAGCAAAGAGGACAGGCCUCAUAGAUAGAUUGGUAUUUUAGAAGGUUGGGGAGGGUGGGGAGGAAGCAGACCAACCCGGGGCCCAGAAAACUGACCUUGCAGAGAGAGGACAAGGUAGAAAAAGUAAGGGCAGAGUCAGGGGGUGGAGAGCUUUAGAAGUCAUUAUUACUCAUUUUGGGCUGGGUGGUGACGGGAACGCGAGAGGAUCAAAGGCUCCAGAAGGGAGCGUUCUUGCGGCCAUUUACCAGACAGCGUAGAAACAGUAGAGAGUCUCCUGCCUCUGUCACUCACCGCUCUGUGGUUCAUACAGUGAUCUUCCUGCGUGUCUUCUCACCUAGGCUACCUCAGAUGCCCUUUGGAGGAGAUGGGAUGUAAAUCGCACACACCAGGGUGGAAGAGAUCGCCUUUGGGGCAAAGGGCCUUGUGAAAAGGCCCAGGCUGCUGCAUCCUCACAUUCUCCCUUUAAUUCUCCUGGAAACUUCUAAGAAAAGCCGUCAGGUGGAAAUGAACAGUAAUUGGCAACUCGAGACCCGGCGUCUGAGACUAAGAAAAUGAGAUAAGGAAUGUAUAAAGGAACAUUUCUACAAUGACAGCAUUAAACAAAACACGGGAAUGCCAUGAUCCAGCCUGCACCCACCGAUGCGUUUUCUUGGACAACACCAAGUCCAGGAAGGGAGCACAGCACAGAGGCAGUAGGAACAGGUGUGGAAUUAUUCAACAUCUCUGGCAAACAGCAGUGGGGAUUAAACAGAGAUUUCUUUAAUGAGAUUAAUUCUGAAAUACGAAGAGCAGUUUGGCAUGUUCCCAAAGAUACAAGGCAUUUGUAUCUAUCUAAGAUUAAAGGAGCUUUCACACAAAGCGAUUUUACUUUUUCAACAUCAAAGAGGAUUCUUGGAGGGGCUGCUUGAAGCAGACACACUGUAACAAAUGUGGGGAGUGCCAAAGCUUCUUUAUAUAAAAGACAGUUUGCUCAGCCAGGGAUUGUGUCUGUGGUUUUCACUAUCCAGGAUAUACAGAACACUGUUCUUCCAAUCACAGGAUUAUGGAGAAAGGGAGACCAGGGGUUAGAAAUCAGGUUGACAAACAUCCCAGACAGGUGGCUACCCAAUGAUAACCUUGGAUUUCCUGGGAUGGGGGCUCAGUGCUUCCUGAGGCUGACUGUUGGACAGUUCUUAUAAAUAUUAUAAAUAAUGGCGAUGAUGCUGGUAAUAACGAUAAGAAGGAUCACAGACACUAUUUCUACAUGCAAGGCACUGUAUUUAGCACGUAAGAAAUUACACAGACUUCUGCUAAAUCUUCCUCCCUUGGGCUUUCAACCAGCCUUUCCAGGUCUGCUCUCUGGAGCUGCUCACAAUAGAUUUGCUCCAUUGCGAGCUACAAAUAUUUGAAGGUAGCUUUUAUAU